rnacentral:rRNA from 1 species
GACGAACGCUGGCGGCGUGCCUAAUACAUGCAAGUAGAACGCAGUUGCGAACGGGUGAGUAACGCGUAGGUAACUGCCCCAUAGCGGGGGAUAACCAUUGGAAACGUUAGCUAAUACCGCAUACUGUGAGAUGGACCUGCGUUGUAUGAGCUAGUUGGUGAGGCAAAGGCGCACCAAGGUGACGUUACAUAGCCGAACUGAGAGGUAGAGCGACCACAGUUGGACUGUGGCCCGGCCCAGAAUGCUACGGGAGGGAGCAGUAGGGAAUCGUCGGUAAUUGACGGAAGACUGACCGAGCAGCGCGGCGUGAGUGAAGAAGGUUUUCGGAUCGUAAAGGGCUGGUGUGAGAGAAGCGGUAACGAACCAGAAAGGGGCGGCUGACUACGUGCCAGCAGCCGCGGUAAUUC